rnacentral:rRNA from 1 species
UACGUAGGGGGCAAGCGUUGUCCGGAAUUAUUGGGCGUAAAGAGCUCGUAGGCGGUUUGUCGCGUCUGCUGUGAAAUCCCGAGGCUCAACCUCGGGCUUGCAGUGGGUACGGGCAGACUAGAGUGCGGUAGGGGAGACUGGAAUUCCUGGUGUAGCGGUGGAAUGCGCAGAUAUCAGGAGGAACACCGAUGGCGAAGGCAGGUCUCUGGGCCGCAACUGACGCUGGAGGAGCGAAAGCAUGGGGAGCGAACAGG